UACGUAGGUGGCAAGCGUUGUUCGGAAUUAUUGGGCGUAAAGGGCGCGUAGGCGGUCUUGUAAGUCAGCUGUGAAAGCCCGGGGCUCAACCCCGGAGGGUCGGCUGAUACUGCAGGACUGGAGUACGGAAGAGGUAGCUGGAAUUCCCGGUGUAGCGGUGAAAUGCGUAGAUAUGCGGAGGAACACCGAUGGCGAAGGCAAUCCCCUGGGCCUGCACUGACGCUCAUGCACGAAAGCGUGGGGAGCAAACAGG
rnacentral:rRNA from 1 species